GUAGUCUCGCACAGAUGCAUAUCAAUAAGCGGAGGAAAAGAAACUAACAAGGAUUCCCUAGUAACGGCGAGUGAAGCGGGAAGAGCUCAAAUUUGAAAUCUUCAAGGUUUUACCUUGACGAAUUGUAGUUUAAAGAAGUGUUUUCUGUUGAAGUUUUGGUAAAAGUUCUUUGGAAUAGGACAUCAUAGAGGGUGAGAAUCCCGUAUUUGACCAUUACUUUCAGCUGUGUGAUAGCACUUUCAAAGAGUCGGAUUGUUUGGGAAUGCAGUCCAAAAUGGGUGGUAAAUUUCAUCUAAAGCUAAAUAUUGGCGAGAGACCGAUAGCGAACAAGUACCGUGAGGGAAAGAUGAAAAGAACUUUGAAAAGAGAGUUAAACAGUACGUGAAAUUGUCAAAAGGGAAGCGUUUGACACCAGUGUUGUUUUCUCGAAAAUCAAUUAAAAAGAGUUAGAUUUUGUUGUGUAUUGACCUUAACAGCUUGCAUUUCAAUUUUCUUGCUUUUUUUAAUGCACUUUUCGUUUAACAAGUCAACAUCAGUUUCUUUUGUUGUAAAAAGGUCAUUGGAAGGUGGCUUUCUUUUCGGAGAAAGUGUUUAUAGCCUUUGACUCCUGCAAUCGGAGAGACUGUGGCCUGCAGCGUAGAUCCUUCGGGGUUAGAUACAUUUGUGCUAAGUUAUAGCUUUUUAUAGACAACUUGUUGACUAUGAUUAGUCUUGUAGCUUACUCGCUUAUGCUAUUUUACCUACGCUUAGGAUGUUGAGCGCAUGUCUCUCUCU
rnacentral:rRNA from 1 species